rnacentral:rRNA from 1 species
UGCAACUCGCCUACACGAAGUUGGAAUUGCUAGUAAUCGUGGACCAGCAUGCCACGGUGAAUACGUUCCCGGGUCUUGUACACACCGCCCGUCACACCAUGGGAGCUGGUAACACCCGAAGUCAGUAGUCUAACCGCAAGGAGGACGCUGCCGAAGGUGGGAUUAGCGACUGGGGUGAAGUCGUAACAAGGUAAC